rnacentral:rRNA from 1 species
AUGAGAAAAGUUGAGGAUAUUUUAGGCUUAACCUGCAGUCGAAAGCCCCGCAGGGGUAGGGCAGACGGGUGAGUAACGCGUGGGAAUCUACCCAGUUCUUCGGAAUAACUGAGGGAAACUUCAGCUAAUACCGGAUACGCCCUACGGGGGAAAGAUUUAUCGGAAUUGGAUGAGCCCGCGUAAGAUUAGCUAGUUGGUGAGGUAAUGGCUCACCAAGGCGACGAUCUUUAGCUGGUCUGAGAGGAUGAUCANCCACACUGGGACUGAGACACGGCCCAGACUCCUACGGGAGGCAGCAGUGGGGAAUAUUGGACAAUGGGCGCAAGCCUGAUCCAGCCAUGCCGCGUGAGUGAUGAAGGCCUUAGGGUUGUAAAGCUCUUUCAGUAGGGAAGAUAAUGACGGUACCUACAGAAGAAGCCCCGGCUAACUUCGUGCCAGCAGCCGCGGUAAUACGAAGGGGGCUAGCGUUGUUCGGAUUUACUGGGCGUAAAGCGCACGUAGGCGGAUUGUUAAGUUAGGGGUGAAAUCCCAGGGCUCAACCCUGGAACUGGCUUUAAUACUGGCAAUCUAGAGUCCGGAAGAGGUGAGUGGAACUCCUAAUGUAGAGGUGGAAUUCGUAGAUAUUAGGAAAGAACACCCAGUGGCGAAGGCGGCUCACUGGUCCGGUACUGACGCUGAGGUGCGAAAGCGUGGGGAGCAAACAGGAUUAGAAACCCUGGUAGUCCACGCCGUAAACUAUGAGAGCUACCGGUGGGGAAAUUUACUUCUCAGUGGCGCAACUAACGCAUUAAGCUCUCCGCCUGGGGGAGUAAGGGUCCCAAGAUUAAACCUCCAGGGAAUUGACGGGGGCCCCCCACAAACUGUGGGAACAAGGGGGUUUAAAUUCCAAG